rnacentral:rRNA from 1 species
GAAUUCGUUGUGUAGCGGUGACAUGCUUAGAUAUAACGAGGAACUCCGAUUGCGUAGGCAGCUUACUAAACUAUAACUGACGCUCAUGCACGAAAGCGUGGGGAUCAAACAGGAUUAGAUACCCUGGUAGUCCACGCCGUAAACGAUGAUUACUAGUUGCAUGCGAUAUGAUAGUAUGUGACCAAGCGAAAGCGAUAAGUAAUCCACCUGGGGAGUACGCCGGCAACGGUGAAACUCAAAGGAAUUGACGGGGGCCCGCACAAGCGGAGGAACAUGUGGUUUAAUUCGAUGAUACGCGAGGAACCUUACCCGGGCUUGAAAUGCAGAAGACGAUCUAUGAAAGUAGAUUUCCAGCAAUGGUUUCUGUGUAGGUGCUGCAUGGUUGUCGUCAGCUCGUGCCGUGAGGUGUCGGCUUAAGUGCCAUAACGAGCGCAACCCACAUCAUUAGUUACUAACAGGUUAAGCUGAGGACUCUAAUGAGACUGCCGUCGUAAGAUGCGAGGAAGGUGUGGAUGACGUCAAAUCAGCACGGCCCUUACGUCCGGGGCGACACGCGUGUUACAAUGGGGGGUACAAAGGGCAGCUACCUGGCGACAGGAUGCUAAUCUCCAAAGCCUCUCCCAGUUCGGAUCGGAGUCUGCAACUCGACUCCGUGAAGCUGGAUUCGCUAGUAAUCGCGCAUCAGCCAUGGCGCGGUGAAUACGUUCCCGGGCCUUGUACACACCGCCCGUCAAGCCAUGGGAGCUGGGGGUAUCUGAAGUACGUAACCGCAAGGAGCGUCCUAGGGUAAAACCGGUGACUGGGGCUAAGUCGUAACAAGGUAACC